GGGAUCAUAGCUCAACAGGAUAGAGCAGCUGCCUUCUAAGCAGCAGGUUGGGGGUUCGAGACCCUCUGGUCUCA
rfam:Spirochaetes bacterium GWC1_61_12 gwc1_scaffold_2111, whole genome shotgun sequence.